UACGGGGGGGCAAGCGUUGUUCGGAAUUACUGGGCGUAAAGGGCUCGUAGGCGGCCAACUAAGUCAGACGUGAAAUCCCCGGCUUAACCAGGGAACUGCGUCUGAUACUGGAUGGCUUGAGUUUGGGAGAGGGAUGCGGAAUUCCAGGUGUAGCGGUGAAAUGCGUAGAUAUCUGGAGGAACACCGGUGGCGAAGGCGACAUCCUGGACCAACACUGACGCUGAGUGAGCGAAAGCCAGGGAGCAAAGCGGG
rnacentral:rRNA from 1 species